GCCUCCUUAGCUCAGUGGUAGAGCGCUUGUCUUGUACCAUCUGGCACAUGAGAGAACAAGAGGUCGGUGGUUCAAUCCCGCCAGGGGGCA